GGCCGUGUGGCGUAAUGGCAACGCGUCUGACUACGAAGAACUAAUCAGGAGAUUGCAGGUUCGACCCCUGUCUCGGUCA